rnacentral:rRNA from 1 species
UACGAGCGGCCCAAACGUUAUUCGGAAUUACUGGGCUUAAAGAGUUCGUAGGCGGCGCAGAAAGUAGGGUGUGAAAGCCCUCGGCUUAACCGAGGAAUUGCGCCCUAAACUACUGUGCUUGAGGAACCUAGAGGUGAGCAGAACUGAUGGUGGAGCGGUGAAAUGCGUUGAUAUCAUCAGGAAUACCGGAGGCGAAGGCGGCUCACUGGGGGUUUUCUGACGCUGAGGAACGAAAGCCAGGGGAGCGAACGGG